AGAUUAAACAUAAGAGUUUGAUCCUGGCUCAGAUUGAACGCUGGCGGCAUGCUUUACACAUGCAAGUCGAACGGCAGCACGGAGAGCUUGCUCUCUGGUGGCGAGUGGCGAACGGGUGAGUAAUGCAUCGGAACGUACCGAGUAAUGGGGGAUAACUGUCCGAAAGGAUGGCUAAUACCGCAUACGCCCUGAGGGGGAAAGCGGGGGAUCUUAGGACCUCGCGUUAUUUGAGCGGCCGAUGUUGGAUUAGCUAGUUGGUGGGGUAAAGGCCUACCAAGGCGACGAUCCAUAGCGGGUCUGAGAGGAUGAUCCGCCACAUUGGGACUGAGACACGGCCCAAACUCCUACGGGAGGCAGCAGUGGGGAAUUUUGGACAAUGGGGGGAACCCUGAUCCAGCCAUGCCGCGUGUCUGAAGAAGGCCUUCGGGUUGUAAAGGACUUUUGUUAGGGAAGAAAAGCCGGGUGCUAAUACCACCUGGUGCUGACGGUACCUAAAGAAUAAGCACCGGCUAACUACGUGCCAGCAGCCGCGGUAAUACGUAGGGUGCGAGCGUUAAUCGGAAUUACU
rnacentral:rRNA from 1 species